rnacentral:tRNA from 1 species
GUCCCUGUAGUUCAACAGGAUAGAGCACAGGCCUCCGGAGCCUGAAAUGGCCGUUCGAGUCGGCCCAGGGACA